UCGGGGAUCGUCUAAUGGUAGGACGCCAGGUUCUGGCCCUGGUAAUCGGGGUUCAAAUCCCUGUCCCCGAGCCA
rnacentral:tRNA from 1 species